rnacentral:rRNA from 1 species
UACGAACCGUGCGAACGUUGUUCGGAAUCACUGGGCUUAAAGGGCGCGUAGGCGGGCUCAUAAGUCAGGGGUGAAAUCCCACGGCUCAACCGUGGAAGUGCCUUUGAUACUGUGAGUCUCGAGGGAGGUAGGGGCGUGCGGAACUUCCGGUGGAGCGGUGAAAUGCGUAGAUAUCGGAAGGAACACCGGUGGCGAAAGCGGCGCGCUGGACCUCUUCUGACGCUGAGGCGCGAAAGCCAGGGGAGCAAACGGG